AGCCAGAGGAAGAUAUUUUUGGUUUAACCUGCCCAAUGAUUAUUGUAUGAAUGGCCGCGGUACCCUGACCGUGCUAAGGUAGCGUAAUCAGUUGGCUUUUAAAUGGAGUCAGGUAUGAAUGGGAUAACCGGGCUUAGCUGUCUCAAAGACAUUUAUUUGAAUUUACUGUUCAAGUGAAAAAGCUUGAUUUAAGAAAAGGGACGAGAAGACCCUUAGAAUUUUGUUUAAAGAGGAUUAUUUCUUCUAUGAUUUUGUUGGGGCGACAGAGAAAUAAUUAAAACUUUCUUUAAAUUAAUCAGUCGGAAUUUUCAGGUUAGGAUAAAUUACCUGAGGGAUAACAGCAUAAUUUUAUAAAUAAGUUUGUGACCUCGAUGUUGGACUAGGAAGCUAAUGGGUUAGCUGCUCAUUGUGCGGAUUCUGUUCGAAUUUUAACUCCUA
rnacentral:rRNA from 1 species